GACGAACGCUGGCGGCGCGCCUAACACAUGCAAGUCGAACGAGCGAGAGAGAGCUUGCUUUCUCGAGCGAGUGGCGAACGGGUGAGUAACGCGUGAGGAACCUGCCUCAAAGAGGGGGACAACAGUUGGAAACGACUGCUAAUACCGCAUAAGCCCACGGCUCGGCAUCGAGCAGAGGGAAAAGGAGCAAUCCACUUUGAGAUGGCCUCGCGUCCGAUUAGCUAGUUGGUGAGGUAACGGCCCACCAAGGCGACGAUCGGUAGCCGGACUGAGAGGUUGAACGGCCACAUUGGGACUGAGACACGGCCCAGACUCCUACGGGAGGCAGCAGUGGGGAAUAUUGCACAAUGGGGGAAACCCUGAUGCAGCGACGCCGCGUGGAGGAAGAAGGUCUUCGGAUUGUAAACUCCUGUUGUUGGGGAAGAUAAUGACGGUACCCAACAAGGAAGUGACGGCUAACUACGUGCCAGCAGCCGCGGUAAAACGUAGGUCACAAGCGUUGUCCGGAAUUACUGGGUGUAAAGGGAGCGCAGGCGGGAAGACAAGUUGGAAGUGAAAUCUAUGGGCUCAACCCAUAAACUGCUUUCAAAACUGUUUUUCUUGAGUAGUGCAGAGGUAGGCGGAAUUCCCGGUGUAGCGGUGGAAUGCGUAGAUAUCGGGAGGAACACCAGUGGCGAAGGCGGCCUACUGGGCACCAACUGACGCUGAGGCUCGAAAGUGUGGGUAGCAAACAGGAUUAGAUACCCUGGUAGUCCACGCCGUAAACGAUGAUUACUAGGUGUUGGAGGAUUGACCCCUUCAGUGCCGCAGCUAACACAAUAAGUAAUCCACCUGGGGAGUACGACCGCAAGGUUGAAACUCAAAGGAAUUGACGGGGGCCCGCACAAGCAGUGGAGUAUGUGGUUUAAUUCGACGCAACGCGAAGAACCUUACCAAGUCUUGACAUCCCUUGACGAUGCUGGAAACAGUAUUUCUCUUCGGAGCAAGGAGACAGGUGGUGCAUGGUUGUCGUCAGCUCGUGUCGUGAGAUGUUGGGUUAAGUCCCGCAACGAGCGCAACCCUUAUGGUCAGUUACUACGCAAGAGGACUCUGGCCAGACUGCCGUUGACAAAACGGAGGAAGGUGGGGAGGACGUCAAAUCAUCAUGCCCUUUAUGACUUGGGCUACACACGUACUACAAUGGCGUUAAACAAAGAGAAGCAAGACCGCGAGGUGGAGCAAAACUCAGAAACAACGUCCCAGUUCGGACUGCAGGCUGCAACUCGCCUGCACGAAGUCGGAAUUGCUAGUAAUCGUGGAUCAGCAUGCCACGGUGAAUACGUUCCCGGGCCUUGCACA
rnacentral:rRNA from 1 species